UAUGAUUUAGUCCUUACAGAAACACCUGACAGGAAAAUGUAAGAAGUGAUGGACGAUUUUUAUGAGGCAGGUUUUUUUUUAUACUAUACAAACCACACCAAAUGGGUGACUUACAUGGGUGAAUAGUUUCUCUCAAGUAUGAAGUCUCACGUGAAGCUCAAGACUCUCUUCCCACACUUGAUCACAUGUGUGCGGCUUCUCCCCGCAUGGAUUCUCAUGUGUACCAUAAGAUUUGAUGAUUGUGUGAAGCUCUUCCCACAUUGAUCACAUGUGAAUGGCUUCUCCCCAGUGUGAACUCUCAUGUGAAGCACAAGGUUGUCUUUCCUUGAGAAACGCUUUCAACAUUAAGUGCAGUAAACACUAGUGCUCCCAGAUGGUCAAACACUGCCUGCUUGCAAAUGAUCUUCUCUUCUUUAGGAUGAAGAGGAGAAGAUCAGCAAAUCAAUGGUUUGGGAGCAGCAGAUCCAGACUGUGAUCGGUGAGAUGGCACUGACUCAGAUCCAGUUCUGUCAAUUCUUCAGAAUAUUCCAGAAUCAGUUUCAGACCUCGACAGACCUGCAGAUCCAGCUGAGUCGGACUGAGAUCCAGCUCUUCACCCAGAGAUCCAGAGAGAGACUGGGCUUCUUCAGGCCUCACAUGAGCCAGAAACUGAAGCAGCAAAGGUUUAUCACAACUGAAAGAUAGAGCGCAAGAGAUGUGUUGUAUAUAAUUAAUGCUUUUAUAUUGGAUCUGUGUGUGAAUGUGAUCUGUUGAUGCUUCUCAUCACAGCUGCACAUAAUGUAACACUGGGAACAGCUGAUCCAUUCCAGCUGUAUGAAUCUCACAGUCCUGCAGAAUUAGCUUUGUGUCUCUUGAGUCUUUGUGUCUGAGUGAGCUUUCUGAAUGACUCUAGAAAUCACACAGCAGUCGUCAGCGGUCAGAUGUAGUGGCUCUGAGUCUAUGUUUGUCGUCAGAUCUAGAGCAGAGCGGCAGGAUAAGUCCAGCCUGUGUUGCAGGAUCGAGAGCAAAGCAGCCGCUGCCUCCUGCUGGACAUCGGAGACACUGCAGCAGUGAAGCAUCUUCAGUAACAGCAGCCUGUCAACACUGAACGCAGAGAGACACUAGAUCAGGACAGAUUCUGGAGCAUCAAUAAC